rnacentral:rRNA from 1 species
CCUACGGGUGGCAGCAGUCGAGAAUCAUUCACAAUGGGGGAAACCCUGAUGGUGCGACGCCGCGUGGGGGAAUGAAGGUCUUCGGAUUGUAAACCCCUUUCAUGUGGGAGCAAAUUAAAAAGAUAGUACCACAAGAGGAAGAGACGGCUAACUCUGUGCCAGCAGCCGCGGUAAUACAGAGGUCUCAAGCGGUGUUCGGAAUCACUGGGCGUAAAGCGUGCGUAGGCUGUUUCGUAAGUCGGGUGUGAAAGGCGCGGGCUCAACCCGCGGGCGGCACAUGAUACUGCGAGACUAGAGUAGUGGAGAGGGAAGCGGAAUUCUAGGUGUAGCAGUGAAAUGCGUAGAUAUCGGGAGGAACACUAGUGGCGAAGGCGGGUUCCUGGACAGUAACUGACGCUGAGGCACGAAGGCCAGGGGAGCGAAAGGGAUUAGAUACCCGUGUAGUC